UUUGUUUCUUCUAAGUUCAUAUUUUAUUACAUGGAGGAAACAGUAAUGUCAUUUCCCUAUCUGAAGAGUUUUAAGUACAUUUCAUAGUUUGGUACAUGUUUGCUUAUUAAGGGGGAUAUGUGAUGUUCCAAUGUCUCAGCCUGAACGCUAGGUGGCAGUAUAAGCAGGAUGACUUGUACAGGCGGGAGAAGAAGAAGAAGACCGGACUCGGAGUUACCUCGUGAUGUUUACACUUGCUGUUCUUAAAAUAAAGUGAAGGAAAAGAAACGAAGUUGUCUUAUUUCAGGACACAACAGGUUUGUGACUGCUUCUGGUUUUAUUUGUUCACAACGUUCCUUUUCUUGUUCAUUUCCUCCUCAGGAGGAGGUGCAGGGUCCUGAUGGCCAGCUGGGAUAUCAGCAUGUCCUGAAGCUGCCAGGGCCCUGGUGGAAGCCAGGAGUCUCCGGGGGCUCGGAGAGAGACGGGUAGACAGGCUCAUCGCGCUCUGGCAACGCCUGCCAGAGCAGGACAAGCGGAGAGUCGUCUACCCGUCCAGACACCAGGACAGACGCUCCCAGGGUUCAAGGCAGCAAAGGGGAAGAACACUUCCUGUCCUGGGAAGGAAAGUCUCCAGUGCUGCUACUCGGACUCAACUCCUGCAGACGGGCCAGAUGCAGCCGCCUGGUGGAGGCCGUUUGCAGCAGCUCUGCCGUCUCCAUCCUGCCUCCACACGCGUGGGAGGAUCAUGAAGACCCGCUGGUCCCUCAUCCAUGGAGACUACGUGGCCAUCAGGGAGACGGUGCCGGCAGCCCGAGGCUGAUGCUCAGACCAACAUUCAGCUCUUUGAGCUGAAUCAGAGGACUCUGUGGUGAGAGCUGCUGUUGGUGGCAAGUCUGUGGCGGAGUGGAAGGAGGAGAUGAAAGGACAAAAGACAUAAGGUUUUGUAUAUAAAUGUAUACAGUUUUUUUUAUAAUUUGUAUAUAGUUUGUUUUUAUUUUGCAUAUACAUGUAUAUAUUUAUCAUGUGUGUAUUGUUUUUCUUUUUGUAUGAAUAAAUGUGGCUUGUUUCUCUUUCAA